AGCCAUGAUGUAGACAUGAGUUUAAGAGAUCUUUGAAUCUCUCCCAACAUUGGAAGAAGGUCUCUUCCUCUUUCUAGGAGAAAUUCAUGAUUGCUUUCCUUAAGUU